CUACGGGAUGCUGCAGUGAGGAAUAUUGCACAAUGGGGGGAACCCUGAUGCAGCAACGCCGCGUGGAGGAUGACGCAUUUCGGUGUGUAAACUCCUUUUAUAUGUCAAGAAAAUGACGGUAGCAUAUGAAUAAGCACCCGCUAACUCCGUGCCAGCAGCCGCGGUAAUACGGAGGGUGCAAGCGUUAGGCGGAAUCACUGGGCGUAAAGGACGCGUAGGCGGGUUGGAAAGUCAGGUGUGAAAUCCUACAGCUUAACUGUAGAACUGCACUUGAAACUUCUAAUCUAGAGUAUGGGAGGGGGAGAUGGAAUUAGUGGUGUAGGGGUAAAAUCCGUAGAUAUCACUAGGAAUACCUAAAGCGAAGGCGAUCUCCUGGAACAUUACUGACGCUAAGGCGUGAAAGCGUGGGGAGCAAACAGGAUUAGAUACCCUCGUAGUC
rnacentral:rRNA from 1 species